GCAGAACCCUACUUAUCCUGCAGAGGAUGCCCCAGGUAACUUCUUCAUCCUAGGUUACAGAAUGUAAGUUACACAGAGCAGAACCAAACUUGCCCUGUAGCGUGGAGCCAACCUCUGCUGAAUCCAACAGAGCUACGGCUGACCUGCAGAUCCACGAGUAGUAUCACAGUAAAAUAAUGGAACAUGACAAACUUUUGCACAUAAACCUAUGAGUGUGCUCAGUGUUGAGUCCAGCAUCAAGGACCUUUGCUCUCUCCAAUCCUAAGUUGUAUGAAGAGUUCUUCACACAGACACUUACAUGCACACACAUUCUCUGAGCAGGUCUGCUCAGAAUUGCCUGGCUGUGACUUUGUUCUCAAAAUAUGUUGGUGUUUGGCAGCUAUGUCAGACUAUCAGCCAGUCCCUAAAUACACCUUAUUAUUUCUCGUCAUUUAUGUCUCUGGGAUGAAAAAUAUAUCAGCCUGGUUGGUAAGAACAGAGUCGCUAAAUGUGUUAAAGAAAUAAAGGGUUUCAUACAGGAUUGGGGCUUACCCAAACAUGGGAGGGGCUGGGAGAGUCAUGGUCUGAAGGCUGCAGUUAAAGGGUAGGAGAAACAGUCACCUACAACUCAGAACUGGAAAGACUGGAACUCUUGGGCGUGCCUGAGAAGCUGCUGUGACUGCCUGCCAGAGUGGGAGUGCCCAGUGAGGUUUGCUAAACCACAUGCUCCCUAAAACUGCGGUGUGAGCCAACAUGACCUCCCAAGAGCUUUCCUCCUGCCUUCCCACCACAGGCUUCUCAUUGGUUAUAUGUAUUUUGAAACAGGAAAUCUCGCCAUCCUCACCAAAGCCAUUUCCUUGAGAGGAUUUUAUCUGGUUUGUCUCCUUGACUCCAGGCAGGGCUCCAUUCCAACCAGAUGGAAGAAUGCAGACAUCUCACAUCAUUUACACCCAGAAGGCUGUCAGCAGCAGCGCUCAGGGAGUGAGAGUGUUUAAUCUCGAGGAGGAAAUAGAAUGUAUACACACCCUGCAAACUGAGAUGUUUUACGUUGGCUCUGGCUCCUACCGCCCCCCAUGUGUGGCAGCAGCUACCAAGACUCUACUGUGAAUCCCCAUGACUGCAAUGAGAAUGAACAAAAUGAACAACCUGCAGCAACAUGAAUGGACCUCACAAGGAUAAUGUUGAACAUAAGAAGCCAGGCACAAAAGAGUGCAUAUUUUUGUGUCUGACUCCAUUACAUGAAGUUCAAGAAGAAGAAACAUUAAUGUAUGGUUUUGGAAGGCAGGAUGUGGGGAGGUAGUUGGGGCAUGAGGAGGUUUUGGGGGUACAGGGUGGUGGCAGUGUUUUGCUUCUGGUUCUGGGGGAUGGCUAAGUGUGUGUUCAUUUCAUGUAAGUUCAUAUGCAUUUGUGCAAUUGCCUGUAAAGUUGUCAUACUUCGAUAAUAUUAAAAAUAUGAAAAAUAAAAAUAUAAAGCCCAUAUGGGAGAGCACACUUCUCUGCAUUUUUUUUGCACUUUGGCGAUGAGCUGACAGAGGGGUUGUUAACAAGCACCCUACUUGCUCACUGUGCUUGGUAGGAUCCUCAACCUAGCGAGUCCCACCCCAUUCC
rnacentral:lncRNA from 10 species